UACGAAGGGGGCUAGCGUUGCUCGGAAUCACUGGGCGUAAAGGGUGCGUAGGCGGGUCUUUAAGUCAGGGGUGAAAUCCUGGAGCUCAACUCCAGAACUGCCUUUGAUACUGAGGAUCUUGAGUUCGGGAGAGGUGAGCGGAACUGCGAGUGUAGAGGUGAAAUUCGUAGAUAUUCGCAAGAACACCAGUGGCGAAGGCGGCUCACUGGCCCGAUACUGACGCUGAGGUGCGAAAGCGUGGGGAGCAAACAGG
rnacentral:rRNA from 1 species